rnacentral:rRNA from 1 species
GGGGAAUAUUGGACAAUGGGCGAAAGCCUGAUCCAGCAACGCCGCGUGAGGGAUGACGGCCUUCGGGUUGUAAACCUCUUUCAGCAGGGACGAAGCGAAAGUGACGGUACCUGCAGAAGAAGGACCGGCCAACUACGUGCCAGCAGCCGCGGUAAUACGUAGGGUCCGAGCGUUGUCCGGAAUUAUUGGGCGUAAAGGGCUCGUAGGCGGUUUGUCGCGUCGGGAGUGAAAAUCCAGGGCUCAACCCUGGACGUGCUUUCGAUACGGGCAGACUAGAGGUAUUCAGGGGAGAACGGAAUUCCUGGUGUAGCGGUGGAAUGCGCAGAUAUCAGGAGGAACACCGGUGGCGAAGGCGGUUCUCUGGGAAUUACCUGACGCUGAGGAGCGAAAGCAUGGGGAGCGAAC